CCUACGGGAGGCAGCAGUGGGGAAUAUUGGGCAAUGGGCGCAAGCCUGACCCAGCAACGCCGCGUGCAGGAAGACGGCUUUCGGGUUGUAAACUUCUUUUCUGAGGGACGAAGAAAGUGACGGUACCUCAGGAAUAAGCCACGGCUAACUACGUGCCAGCAGCCGCGGUAAUCCGUAGGUGGCAGGCGUUAUCCGGAUUUAUGGGGUGUAAAGGGCGUGUAGGCGGGAAAGCAAGUCAGAUGUGAAAUCUCAGGGCUCAACCCUGGGCCUGCGUUUGCAACUGUUUUUCUUGAGUGCUGGAGAGGCAAUCGGAAUUCGGGGUGUAGCGGUGAAAUGCGUAGAUAUACGGAGGAACACCAGUGGCGAAGGCGGAUUGCUGGACAGUAACUGACGCUGAGGCGCGAAGGCGUGGGGAGCAAACAGGAUUAGAUACCCUAGUAGUC
rnacentral:rRNA from 1 species